GACGAACGCUGGCGGCGUGCCUAAUACAUGCAAGUCGAACGCUGCUUAAGAAGAAACUUCGGUUUUUUCUUAAGCGGAGUGGCGGACGGGUGAGUAACACGUGGGGAACCUAUCCAUCAGCGGGGGAUAACACUUGGAAACAGGUGCUAAUACCGCAUACGGCUUUUUUUCACCUGAAAGAAAGCUCAAAGGCGCUUUACAGCGUCACUGAUGGCUGGCCCCGCGGUGCAUUAGCCAGUUGGUGAGGUAACGGCUCACCAAAGCAACGAUGCAUAGCCGACCUGAGAGGGUGAUCGGCCACACUGGGACUGAGACACGGCCCAGACUCCUACGGGAGGCAGCAGUAGGGAAUCUUCGGCAAUGGACGCAAGUCUGACCGAGCAACGCCGCGUGAGUGAAGAAGGUUUUCGGAUCGUAAAGCUCUGUUGUCAGCAAAGAACAGGAGAAAGAGGCAAUGCUUUUUCUAUGACGGUAGCUGACCAGAAAGCCACGGCUAACUACGUGCCAGCAGCCGCGGUAAUACGUAGGUGGCAAGCGUUGUCCGGAUUUAUUGGGCGUAAAGCGAGCGCAGGCGGUGAUUUAAGUCUGAUGUGAAAGCCCCCAGCUCAACUGGGGAGGGUCAUUGGAAACUGGAUCACUUGAGUGCAGAAGAGGAGAGUGGAAUUCCAUGUGUAGCGGUGAAAUGCGUAGAUAUAUGGAGGAACACCAGUGGCGAAGGCGGCUCUCUGGUCUGUAACUGACGCUGAGGCUCGAAAGCGUGGGUAGCAAACAGGAUUAGAUACCCUGGUAGUCCACGCCGUAAACGAUGAGUGCUAAGUGUUGGAGGGUUUCCGCCCUUCAGUGCUGCAGUUAACGCAUUAAGCACUCCGCCUGGGGAGUACGACCGCAAGGUUGAAACUCAAAGGAAUUGACGGGGGCCCGCACAAG
rnacentral:rRNA from 1 species